rnacentral:rRNA from 1 species
CCUGCCCAAGAGACUGGGAUAACACCUGGAAACAGAUGCUAAUACCGGAUAACAACACUAGACGCAUGUCUAGAGUUUAAAAGAUUGGUUCUGCUAUCACUCUUGGAUGGACCUGCGGUGCAUUAGCUAGUUGGUAAGGUAACGGCUUACCAAGGCAAUGAUGCAUAGCCGAGUUGAGAGACUGAUCGGCCACAUUGGGACUGAGACACGGUCCAAACUCCUACGGGAGGCAGCAGCA